ensembl:snRNA U6 U6 spliceosomal RNA
GUGCUUGCUUCAGCAGCACAUAUACUAAAAUUGGAAUGAUACAGAGAUUAGCAUGGCCCCUGUGCAAGGAUGAUACAUAAAUUCGUGAAAUGUUCCAUGUUUUU